UUACGGCCACAUCACAUUGAAAUACUGGACCCCAUACAAUCACUGAAGUUAAGCAACAUUGAGCCUGGUCAGUACCUAGAUGGGUGACUGAAUACCAGGUGCUGUAAG